rnacentral:ncRNA from 2 species
ACAUAUCCGUUGGGGUGCCCGCUUGGGCUGAGAGGCGAAGAGCCAACCCAUCGAACCUGAUCCGGCUUGCACCGGCGGAGGGAACGGAGACCGCGCAGCC